rnacentral:rRNA from 1 species
UGGCGGACGGGUGAGUAAUGUCUGGGAAACUGCCUGAUGGAGGGGGGUAACUACUGGAAACGGUAGCUAAUACCGCAUAACGUCGCAAGACCAAAGAGGGGACCUUCGGGCCUCUUGCCAUCGGAUGUGCCCAGAUGGGAUUAGCUAGUAGGUGGGGUAACGGCUCACCUAGGCGACGAUCCCUAGCUGGUCUGAGAGGAUGACCAGCCACACUGGAACUGAGACACGGUCCAG